AGAGUUUGAUCCUGGCUCAGGACGAACGCUGGCGGCGUGCUUAACACAUGCAAGUCACGGGGGCCCGCAAGGGCAACCGGCGAACGGGUGCGUAACACGUGAGCAACCUGCCUAUCUGUGGGGGAUAGCCGGCCCAACGGCCGGGUAAUACCGCAUACGCUCUCCGGGGGACAUCCCCUGGUGAGGAAAACUCCGGUGCAGAUAGAGGGGCUCGCGACCUAUCAGCUAGUUGGUGAGGUAACGGCUCACCAAGGCGACGACGGGUAGCUGGUCUGAGAGGAUGGCCAGCCACAUUGGGACUGCGACACGGCCCAGACUCCUACGGGAGGCAGCAGUGGGGAAUAUUGCGCAAUGGACGAAAGUCUGACGCAGCGACGCCGCGUGUGGGAUGAAGCUCUUCGGGGUGUAAACCACUGUUGCCAGGGAAGAAACUCUUGAUUCGUCAAGACUGACGGUACCUGGUGAGGAAGCACCGGCUAACUCUGUGCCAGCAGCCGCGGUAAUACAGAGGGUGCGAGCGUUGUCCGGAAUCACUGGGCGUAAAGGGCGCGUAGGUGGCGGGAUAAGUGUGUGGUGAAAGCUCGGGGCUCAACCCCGAGUCUGCCAUGCAGACUGUCUUGUUCGAGCGUAGUAGAGGCAGGUGGAAUUCCGGGUGUAGCGGUGGAAUGCAGAGAUCCGGAAGAACACCGGUGGCGAAGGCGGCCUGCUGGGCUACUGCUGACACUGAUGCGCGACAGCGUGGGGAGCAAACAGGAUUAGAUACCCUAGUAGUCC
rnacentral:rRNA from 1 species